rnacentral:rRNA from 1 species
UAGGGAAUCUUCGGCAAUGGACGGAAGUCUGACCGAGCAACGCCGCGUGAGUGAAGAAGGUUUUCGGAUCGUAAAGCUCUGUUGUAAGAGAAGAACGAGUGUGAGAGUGGAAAGUUCACACUGUGACGGUAACUUACCAGAAAGGGACGGCUAACUACGUGCCAGCAGCCGCGGUAAUACGUAGGUCCCGAGCGUUAUCCGGAUUUAUUGGGCGUAAAGCGAGCGCAGGCGGUUAGAUAAGUCUGAAGUUAAAGGCUGUGGCUUAACCAUAGUACGCUUUGGAAACUGUUUAACUUGAGUGCAAGAGGGGAGAGUGGAAUUCCAUGUGUAGCGGUGAAAUGCGUAGAUAUAUGGAGGAACACCGGUGGCGAAAGCGGCUCUCUGGCUUGUAACUGACGCUGAGGCUCGAAAGCGUGGGGAGCAAACAGGAUUAGAUGCCCUGGUAGUCCACGCCGUAAACGAUGAGUGCUAGGUGUUGGGUCCUUUCCGGGACUCAGUGCCGCAGCUAACGCAUUAAGCACUCCGCCUGGGGAGUACGACCGCAAGGUUG